rnacentral:rRNA from 1 species
AAUCAACGCUGGCGGCGUGCCUAACACAUGCAAGUCGAACGAGAAAGUGGAGCAAUCCAUGAGUAAAGUGGCGACCGGGUGAGUAACACGUGACUAACCUGCCCUAGAGUGGGGGAUAACCUCGGGAAACCGGGGCUAAUACCGCAUAACAUCACGAGGGGAAGAUCCUUGUGAUCAAAGGAGCAAUUCGCUCCGGGAGGGGGUCGCGGCUGAUUAGUUAGUUGGCGGGGUAACGGCCCACCAAGACGAAGAUCAGUAGCCGGCCUGAGAGGGCGCACGGCCAAACUGGAACUGAAACACGGGCCAGACUCCUACGGGAGGCAGCAGUGGGGAAUUUUGCGCAAUGGGGGAAACCCUGACGCAGCAACGCCGCGUGGAGGAUGAAGUCCCUUGGGAUGUAAACUCCUUUCGAUCGGGACGAUAAUGACGGUACCGGAAGAAGAAGCACCGGCUAACUCUGUGCCAGCCGCCGCCGUAAUAC